AGGUCUUCCUAGCUCAUGUCAGUAUUGCACCAAGGGAGCUGGGCCAAACUUAGCAUACAAGCCCUGUAGGUAUGAGUAUAGGUGGAGAUGGGGGGUCAAGUUGGCCUCAGCUGAGAAGAGAGAGGCCCUCUGUGUUAGGAACCCAGGAAGGGCCAGAGACCAUGAGCAGUUUGAUGUGACCAAAAUGGAACUAAAUGGUUACAGUAUUAGCGUUUGCAGAUGACAUUGGAGAGGAAACCAUGAAGGAUCCAGUUAAUGGGCCCUUGAAGGUGAGUAUGGGAAGCUUGGACGUCACUGACCCUGUCUAGGUUUAGAUGCCCCAAACAUUCCACCUAGGCUUUCGCUCAGCCUUAUUCCUGGCACCCACCUUCCACCACCCAAUAUGAGUCCAUCCUCCACGCUGAUGCUGUCAUGAUCUUCCUGAAACACAACUUGGCCUAUCCCAGCACUCCCUCCUUCAGCUCCUUCAAUGUAUCCUUAUGGAGUAAAGUCCAAACUCCUAAGCCUGCCUUUCAAAGUCCUCCACAACCUCCUUUUGAGCAUGAUCCUUCAUGCACCUGUCCUUCUACAGGCCCCACCUCUCUGGCUGACUCGUGUUGGGCCCUCUACCCAUUCUCCUUCCUCUCUGCAACCUCCCUUGCCUUCUCCCAGGGUCUUCUGUUGAAGAUCUGUUAUUCUUUAAGGCCUGGUUCUAAUCUCAUGUCCUUCAAAACUCCUUUUAAGAUCUUCUAGUUUGAAAUAGUCUCUCAAGCCACUGUAUUUGUAUAUCAUGUAUCUACACCAGCACUUAUCUGUCUGCCCAGUAUCAGAGUUAUUUAUAAAUGUCUGUUUCUCCUAUUAUGUUGUAUGCUCUUAGAAAGCAAAAAUAGAAUUGACAAAAGAAAUAUUUGAUGAGUUUCUCGUAUUGGAGUUUAUAAAAACCUUUUUGGAAUAGUUCUAUAGAUAUCUAAACACUAAGAGCAACCAUCCUGAGCCUAGGACAUGCUGAUCUUUCAAGACCCACACAAUUUCUACUCCUUGUUCUAUGGUAGGUUAUCACUAGAUAAGAAAUGCCACCCUGACAGGCCAAGAAUCCUCCCCGCCCCUCUCAGCCCAGUGUUGUGUCUAACCGUGGAGCCAGGCUGGCGAUUUGGGGCAGAGCAUGGUGUUGAUAUCAAAACAUUUGGACAUCAUCCACCACACUGCCUUAGUCCCUUUACUCGACUCUGGACCUAUCAUCUGAGGUGAACACAUGACUGCUUAGUCUGUGAGGAAUGGAGGAACGCAGGAACUUAGCAAGGGAGGCAAGUGGUUAUACAGGGGGAAAAGCAGCCAUCUGAGAUAAUUUAUUGAGUAUACUUAUGUGCCAGGCUCUGGACCAGAGACUCUGGGUGAUACAACCCUGAAAGGCAGCAGAAAACAUGCUUGCUCUUCUUACUCAAGCAAGAGAGGGCCAGCCUCCUAGAAAAUGUUUACAAGCUUCAAAGAAGACGUGCUUGCAUGGGACAGCACGAGAAACAUCCCCAGGUUUUCUAUCUGGGGAGGGACAUGGCAGAAGCAGUAUUUUGGGAAGAUAUUUCUGGCAGCAGUAUGUACAGUCUAGACUGAAGAGGAGAAGGUGAAGCCAGGGAAGACUAACAACGAGUCCAGAGAUGGAGAGGAACAAACCUGACUGGGGUGGUGGCACAAAGGAGAGCAUGUCCUGUUCAUCCUUCCCUCCACAAAGCAGCUGGACAAGACCCAACCAGUGAUGGGAUCUCUGUAGCAUCAUUUUCCAAAGGAAGCUGGCACAUGACAAGUGCUGCCUCCAUUUCAAAAUCCAUUCAUGUACCGACAUUCGCCUACCCUCUCGGCCUUGAUCCCACUCUCCUGAGGUGCCUGAGGGAUCUUGCCACUGUGCGCAUGGCACUAAGGAACUCUGCCUGCCAGUCCCAGAACUGCUCUUGUCUCACUCUGUUACCUUAUGCAAAUGGCAGGCAUGGGAAGCCUGCUGCUCCAUCUGGGAAAUCCUCUGGACCACCCAACCUUCCUCUCGGAGAAAGUAAAGGGAGCAAUAAGGAAAUAUUUGCCAAGCCCUGUACAGCCACCUGUUUGCAGAGAGAGGGAGAGUUGCCAUAUUAAUUAUUAAGCAGACCUAUCUGAGCCAAAGAGAGUCAUGGAAACUUCAUUAUUAUGGGUGGUAUGUGGCUGUCUUUGGAAUAUUCUGCUUGCUUGGUUUCUAAUUUCCUUUUCUUACAUGAGUCUUUCUCCCUCAUAAAUCUUUGCAUCUCAAUGUUCUGUUCUCUCCUCCCUUGUGUUCUGAACUAGGAGUUCCCACAAACCCUCUGUGGUUAAAUCUACUCCUCUAAACACCACAGGCUCCAGGCAGCAUUGUUCAUGAAAGCGGGUGACACCCUUUGGCCUCCGCCCUCUAGAAGGGCCUGCUGAGUGAAGGCCCAGUCAGGGAGGGGAGGGAUGGAGGGGUGUUGAGGAGAUUGAGGUGGGCAGGGAGUCCCCCCACCUCUCCCAGCUGCCCAAGGAAACACUCUCCAACUGUUUCUCUAGAACAAACCAACCAACAAGCGCCAGGAGCCUUCCGUGAAUCUGACAGCCGGCUGAUCACAGAAUCCUCCCAGCAAUGGCACUUAGCCCAUAACUGGCAGCAAGUGCCCUCUAGAGGGAGUCAGAGGCAUCCUCUCUGAGAGGCAAAUUCUAAUGUCCUGC